rnacentral:lncRNA from 1 species
AAUCUCGUUUUUUUUUCAAUGAAAUUUAGAAUUUAUAACCUGAUUUUCGUGGCUUUGUGGGCUCAAAUGAGAGAGGUCCAAGUCCAAGAUUUUUCUGUCAUAUUUUUUUAUUUUUAAAACGCGUGCGCUUCGCCUAGCGAAGAAUCUGCUCGCCUAGCGAGCAUGACAGUUCAGACUCUGGUGGCUCGCUAGGCGAACCAUUCUGCUCGCCUAGCGAGCAUGACAGUUCAGACUCUG